rnacentral:snRNA from 1 species
GGAUGUGAGGGCAAUCUGGCUGUGACAUCUGUCACCCCACUGAUCGCCAGGGUUGAUUUGGCUGAUCUGGCUGGGGUGUCCCCUUCCUCCCUCAACGCUCCACGUGCAUCCCUCCCGAAGCUGCGUGCUUGGUCAGUCGAAGAGGAUGACCUCCCCCCAUAGAGGAGGACUGGUCUUCGGUCAAGGGUAUAGGAGUAGCUUUGCUCCCCUGCUAGAACCUCCAAGCUCUCAAAUGUAAUAAAUCUGUAAGACCACUCCUACUCUUUAAGGCAAAAAAAUAAAAUAAGAUU